rnacentral:lncRNA from 1 species
UGCAGCAUGUAUAUUCCUGAGGGCAGAUUCUCAAAUGUUCCCCUGCGAUCUCCUGGUAGGGCACGCUGGCCAAGCUGAAGCCCUUGGCGCUGUACGCCUGCCGCACCUCGCCGCAGCUCCGCGCUUUGCUCUCAGUCCCCGCGGCCGCGGGCGGCGGCAGCAGCAGCAGCAGCAGCCCCGCCAGGGCCCAGUGCUCAGCCCCCCGCGCAGCCGGCAUGGCGCGGCGCGCAAGUCCCGCGCUUCCGCGUCGCGCCGCCGCCGUGUCCCCCGGCUGCGGGGGCGGCGGGCCG